rnacentral:rRNA from 1 species
AGUGAACGCUGGCGGUAGGCCUAACACAUGCAAGUCGAACGGCAGCACAGUAAGAGCUUGCUCUUACGGGUGGCGAGUGGCGGACGGGUGAGGAAUACAUCGGAAUCUACUUUUUCGUGGGGGAUAACGUAGGGAAACUUACGCUAAUACCGCAUACGACCUACGGGUGAAAGCAGGGGAUCUUCGGACCUUGCGCGAUUGAAUGAGCCGAUGUCGGAUUAGCUAGUUGGCGGGGUAAAGGCCCACCAAGGCGACGAUCCGUAGCUGGUCUGAGAGGAUGAUCAGCCAGACGGGAACUGAGACACGGUCCAGACUCCUACGGGAGGCAGCAGUGGGGAAUAUUGGACAAAGGGCGCAAGCCUGAUCCAGCCAUACCGCGAGGGUGAAGAAGGCCUUCGGGUUGGAAAGCCCUUUUGUUGGGAAAGAAGAGCAGCAGGUUAAAACCCCGCUGUUCUGACGGUACCCAAAGAAUAAGCACCGGCUAACUUCGUG